rnacentral:rRNA from 1 species
AGUCUGGGAAACUGCCUGAUGGAGGGGGAGUAACUACUGGAAACGGUAGCUAAUACCGCAUAAUGUCGCAAGACCAAAGUGGGGGACCUUCGGGCCUCAUGCCAUCAGAUGUGCCCAGAUGGGAUCAGCUAGUAGGUGGGGUAAUGGCUCACCUAGGCGACGAUCCCUAGCUGGUCUGAGAGGAUGACCAGCCACACUGGAACUGAGACACGGUCCAG